rnacentral:misc_RNA from 1 species
CACUUGUCUGUGCUUGUCAAGUACGCUGCCAAAGAACCGAUACGUGUCCGAGAAGCCCUGUGAUCUGGCACACUCUCUGACACUGACCACUCUAGUUUGUUCAGGAUGUAAAACUCGACCCUGUGGUACAGAGAAAAGUGUUCCGCAACUUUACUCGUCAGAUGCGGACAUCGCGGACCAUAGAAUUCUACGAGGUUAGCUAUCUUCGCUAUGACAAGUAAAACGAGGAGUAAUGCCGGCUAGAUUUAAAUUAAACAGCCUGGAAAAAUGACUGCAGAAAACGUAGAGGUGUACACGUCUUACUUAAAGAGAUGCAAAGAUGCUGGAAAACUGCUUGCUGGAUUUUCUGAAAUGCUAACGAUGUUAAAGGCUGAAGUCUCGACCAGUGGUCUUCCCGACGAACAGAUUCAGCUCUUGAUUUACAUCAUCACUAAAAUCACUAUGGGUAGUACACAUCGUGCAGCUUUGAUCAAAUGUUUGAUCCCUAUCCAUAGAAUGACCGAAAAGAUUGUCCAAGACAUUGGGUUAUGGUUUAUAUCGACGUCAAAGAACAUCCCAGUUCUACCGGGUAUAGCUGUACUUCAAUGGUUUACUGGUCUAUUGAAUUAUGGGCUUGUCGAAGCUGUGACUAUCAACGCUUUCUAUGAUGCCUUUUUUUUCAUCCUUGUGAAGAAUACAAAAUUUGAACCCUUCGUUGCUCAACUAAUCUAUGUUUUAACUAAGCCUGAAGACGUCACCCGCAGGCAGGUGUCGAGAAUUCUUAAACUGCAAUCGCAGUACGCAAAACCCAGGAAACAUCUGACUGCUUUGUUGUCAUUGUUCAAGUCUUACAAACCAGAACAUGUGCCCGAGAAGAUUCCAGCGACAAAUGUCGAAAGUGCUUGGAAGCGACUUCCAGAAUCUCUGAGACUUGACCUUCAGGAUGCUGCCAAGAGGUGUGACGCAAGUCACUUGGCAGCGUGGCAACCUGACUUAGUGUGGAAUCCGGUAACAAGUGGCGCGCAAUCAAGGAAACAGCGAAAGAUGCCCAUCCCAACUGUUAGCUACAUCAAUAUUGGCUCGAGUAUUUCAAAGGAACCGGAUGCGAAGUCAAUUUUCGAAAUUAGAACACUGGAUGAACUUGGAAAGCAUCAGCUAAGCUUGGAACUACCGUGCAACGCGCUGUCGCUGUUAGCCAACAACGCAGGCUUACAUAUUCUGACGUUUGCAUCAUCUGACUAUCAGAGUAGAUUCUGUUACAACCUGUACAACACCCUACAAAAUGCCUUUAUAUACGAAGUUGGAAAGUUUUCUUACCAAGACCGUGAACGACUACUUUUUAUGACCGCUCAACUGUCGCGAUAUAUGCAGCAGGAAAUCAUUCUUGUCUCACGAUUCCUAAAAAAUUACCUGCCAUUUUGGAAUACGAGGGACCACCGAGACAGCAUUUUCGCACUAAUCCAGUGGAUCACAAUCUCAUCGUUUACCGACGUACACAGGAACAUCCUUUUGCCCCUUCAAACAAUGUGGGAGUCUUCGUCGAUCAACGUUAAGUGCGAGAUCCUCACGACUCUGAGAUCAAUGGUGACGAAUCUUUUCAUGAAAAAUGAAUUCAAAGAUAGAGAUCUUGGACAAGCUCCACUUUUCCUAGAAACAGAUGCGCAAAGUCUAGACAUUGCGGACGUUAUAGAUCCGCUGAUGAAAUUCACGAGUGAUCUAAUUGUUUCGGGUCUAUACAGCGAAUCAAACAAUGGUAUCUUGGUCUCCGAGGCAUUAAUUUUUUACCAGCAUGUGUCUGAGCUUGAGAAACGCAGUGACCUACCAUGCUGGACUAUCUCACCAUCAGUCGUUAUUUACAGUGGACUUGUCAGUCGGAGCAUGGCCAUUUUGUCAGGAGUCUGCGCUUUGUUGUUGAGGUACCGUGGUAUCAACGCAAAACUCCGAGAACUCAACCGUCGCGAUCUUUUUGAAACAAAAAUCAAAAUAAUCGACACAUACGCCACUGACAUAGCAAAGAGUCUGUUGUACAAUGAGGCAUUUUGUGAAUCUGAGGACCGAUGUUUUCUGAGGGGAAUCCCUGAACCUCUACUGCUCGACUUCAGAACUUCGUGUGCGUUCGACACAGCACUCAACAUUAGCAAUCAUUUCGCCAUUUUGCCCUACAAAUUUUCACUAAUCGAUAUGGGACUGGAAAUUGUAACAACAGAGGAUUGUAUCAGCGUUGCUGAAACAUACUAUCCAGAGGUGGCUAAAUUUCUCCAGAUCAUCAGUGAAUAGCUCGUAGCAAUAAAUUCAUUCAACUUAAAAUACUUACUUAUAAGUUGGCAUAAUCAGGAGGCAAUAUAAUACCCUCAAACUUAUCAGAGUUGAAGAUCAGUGAAGACGAUUGACCAGCAUCGUGGAUUUCAUUGGAAUUCUCAACUCCUCAUUUUGUUAAGUGCCCACAGGCGAAAUAAAAAUUAAUCAACAAAAUAA